AUGAACGCGCUCGCCGCGACCAGCCGCAACUUCCGCCAGGCCGCCCGCCUGCUCGGCCUCGACUCCAAGCUCGAGAAGAGCCUCCUCAUCCCCUUCCGCGAGAUCAAGGUCGAAUGCACCAUCCCCAAGGACGACGGCACGCUGGCCUCCUUCGUGGGCUUCCGCGUGCAGCACGACAAUGCCCGCGGGCCCAUGAAAGGUGGCAUCCGCUACCACCCCGAGGUUGAUCCAGAUGAAGUAAAUGCACUUGCUCAGCUGAUGACAUGGAAGACUGCCGUUGCGGCAGUACCAUAUGGUGGAGCAAAGGGAGGAAUAGGGUGCUCUCCCGGUGAUUUAAGUAGGAGUGAGUUGGAGCGUCUGACGCGUGUAUUUACUCAGAAAAUUCAUGACCUUAUCGGAACUCAUACCGAUAUUCCAGCUCCAGACAUGGGAACUAAUUCACAGACCAUGGCAUGGAUCUUUGACGAGUACUCAAAAUUCCAUGGUCACUCCCCAGCUGUUGUCACAGGGAAGCCCAUAGAUCUUGGUGGAUCAUUAGGUAGGGAUGCGGCCACUGGGCGGGGUGUAAUGUACGCUACUGAGGCUCUCCUGGCCGAAUAUGGGAAGUCUAUUUCUGGAUCAACCUUUGUUAUUCAGGGAUUCGGUAAUGUUGGUUCAUGGGCUGCACAACUCAUCCAUGAGAAAGGUGGUAAGGUAAUUGCACUUGGAGAUGUAUCAGGCACAAUCAGAAACAAAGCAGGAAUAGACGUACCUGCUCUGAUGAAGCACAGAAAUGAGGGUGGUCAGUUGAAAGACUUUCAUGGCGCUGAAGUCAUGGAUGCCUCAGAGUUGCUAGUGCAUGAAUGCGAUGUCCUCCUCCCAUGUGCCUUAGGCGGGGUUCUUAACAGGGAAAAUGCCCCUGAAAUUAAGGCCAAAUUUAUAAUCGAAGCUGCUAAUCAUCCAACCGAUCCAGAAGCUGAUGAGAUUCUUACCAAGAAGGGAGUGGUCGUGUUACCUGAUAUCUAUGCUAAUGCUGGGGGUGUGAUCGUUAGCUAUUUUGAGUGGGUUCAGAACAUUCAAGGAUUCAUGUGGGAAGAAGAAAAGGUGAACAUGGAGCUCCAUAAGUACAUGAACAGCGCGUUCCAGAACAUCAAGGCCAUGUGCAAGUCUCAAGAUUGCAACCUUAGGAUGGGAGCAUUCACCUUGGGAGUGAACCGGGUUGCUCGCGCCACCAUCUUGAGGGGUUGGGAGGCAUGA
rnacentral:rRNA from 1 species